rnacentral:rRNA from 1 species
UGGGGAAUCUUGGACAAUGGGGGCAACCCUGAUCCAGCCAUGCCGCGUGAGUGAUGAAGGCCUUAGGGUCGUAAAGCUCUUUCGCCUGUGAAGAUAAUGACGGUAGCAGGUAAAGAAACCCCGGCUAACUCCGUGCCAGCAGCCGCGGUAAUACGGAGGGGGUUAGCGUUGUUCGGAAUUACUGGGCGUAAAGCGCACGUAGGCGGACCAGAAAGUUGGGGGUGAAAUCCCGGGGGCUCAACCCCGGAACUGCCUCCAAAACUAUUGGUCUAGAGUUCGAGAGAGGUGAGUGGAAUUCCAAGUGUAGAGGUGAAAUUCGUAGAUAUUUGGAGGAACACCAGUGGCGAAGGCGGCUCACUGGCUCGAUACUGACGCUGAGGUGCGAAAGUGUGGGGAGCAAAACAGGAUUAGAUACCCUGGUAGUCCACACCGUAAAACGAUGAAAUGCCAGUCGUCGGGUAGCAUGCUAUUCGGUGACACACCUAAC